AAUAGCUCAUCGCACACGUCUGUGCCAGCAUGGUGGGGGGACAAGGACGGGGGAAGGACCCGUUUUUGCUAUCAGCAGCCCUGCUAAUUGCUUUCCGAUUUUGCUGUAAUUGGGCAAGUCACCUGGCCUCCCAUCUCUCCUUAGGCUCCCAAAGUUCAAACCAGUUCAUCAGAAAGAUUCCUGGGCUCACAAGACUUCAUGGAAAUGAAAGCUUUUCACUCCAGCCUGGGCAGGAUCAGACUGACCCGGGUGAGACUGUUCUGAGUGAGUGGUACGUGUCUAUGAUCUGCCCGACAGCGUGGGAUGUACUUCAGAUUUCAGUGCGGUGA
rnacentral:lncRNA from 1 species